rnacentral:RNase_P_RNA from 1 species
AGAGCAAAUCGGACAACUGCGGGCAGCUGCCGUAAGGCACUGCAUGAGGAAAGUCCGGGCAUCACAGAGCAGGGUGCCGGGUAACUCCCGGUGGAGGUAACUCUAAGGAAAGUGCAACAGAAAAUAACCGCCGGAAUAUUUUCGGUAAGGAUGAAAAGGCGAGGUAAGAGCUCACCGCGAUUCGGGAGAUCGAAUUGGCGUGUAAACCCCAUCUGAUGCAACACCCAAGCAUAACAUAUGGCUUGCUCGGCUGUUUUUGGGUGGCUUGAGGUAUGCAGAAAUGUAUAUCCUAGAUAGAUAGUUGUCUAAUACAGAACCCGGCUUACAGAUUUGCUCCUUUU